rnacentral:rRNA from 1 species
CCGGCGGCUGCAGUCGACGAUUAGAGUUUGAUCCUGGCUCAGAUUGAACGCUAGCGGGAUGCCUUACACAUGCAAGUCGAACGGCAGCACGGACUUCGGUCUGGUGGCGAGUGGCGAACGGGUGAGUAAUGUAUCGGAACGUGCCCAGUAGCGGGGGAUAACUACGCGAAAGCGUAGCUAAUACCGCAUACGCCCUACGGGGGAAAGCAGGGGAUCGCAAGACCUUGCACUAUUGGAGCGGCCGAUAUCGGAUUAGCUAGUUGGUGGGGUAACGGCUCACCAAGGCGACGAUCCGUAGCUGGUUUGAGAGGACGACCAGCCACACUGGGACUGAGACACGGCCCAGACUCCUACGGGAGGCAGCAGUGGGGAAUUUUGGACAAUGGGGGAAACCCUGAUCCAGCCAUCCCGCGUGUGCGAUGAAGGCCUUCGGGUUGUAAAGCACUUUUGGCAGGAAAGAAACGUCAUGGGUUAAUACCCCGUGAAACUGACGGUACCUGCAGAAUAAGCACCGGCUAACUACGUGCCAGCAGCCGCGGUAAUACGUAGGAAUGACAGACUAU